GCUGCUGUUGCUGCUGCAACUGUUGCUGCUGAUGUGAGUGUGGCGGCUGCUGCUGCUGCUGCUGCUGCUGCUGUAGCUGCUGC
rnacentral:sRNA from 1 species